AUUGAACGCUGGCGGCAGGCCUAACACAUGCAAGUCGAGCGGAGCGGCGGACGGGUGAGUAAUGCCUGGGAAUCUGCCUGGUAGUGGGGGAUAACGUCCGGCAACGGGCGCUAAUACCGCAUACUAUCAGAUUAGCCUAGGUCGGACUGGCUAGUUGGUGGGGUAAAGGCCUACCAAGGCGACGAUCCGUACCUGGUCUGAGGGGAUGAUCAGUCACACGGGAACUGAGACACGGUCCAGACUCCUACGGGAGGCAGCGGUGGGGAAUAUUGGACAAUGGGCGAAAGCCGGAUCCAGCCAUGCCGCGUGUGUGAAGAAGGUCUUCGGAUUGUAAAGCACUUUAAGUUGGGAGGCGUUACCAACAGAAUAAGCAACGGCUAACUACGUGCCAGCAGCCGCGGUAAUUC
rnacentral:rRNA from 1 species